rnacentral:lncRNA from 1 species
GUUUGCAUUAGAGUUAAAUGAAAUGGAUCCUUUGUCAAGGUCUUUAUUACCACCCACCGACACUCGUUUUAGACCAGAUCAAAGGCUUCUAGAAGAAGGAAACAUAGAGGAGGCUGAGGUGCAGAAGCAGAGGAUUGAGAAGCUGCAGAGGGAGAGGCGGAGGGUCCUGGAGGAAAACGGUGUGGAGCACCAGCCCCGGUUUUUCAGGAAAUCCAGUGACGAUGCUUGGGUGAGCAACGGGACCUAUCUGGAACUGAGGAAAGACCUUGGCUUUUCCAAGCUGGACCAUCCCGUCUUGUGGUGAAAUGUAAGGGAGAGAGAGAAUCCCUGCACUUUGCCCACAGUUGCUUCCGGAAGCAACACACACCUGUCUGUACGUUUAAACGAUAGCAGCCAGAACGAUCCCUUGUGCUUAGCGUAGCAUCGUAAGCACUGAAGUAUAUACUUUUCUUCAGUAAGUCUCUUUACAGUUUCAAGUGUUAUCACGAUCGUUUAUAUGAAUGUAGAACGCCUCGGUAUUUCUUUUUAUAUAUAAACUAUUUAAUAAAAAUGAAAGGUUGAAUGUUAA